rnacentral:rRNA from 1 species
UCGAGGGGCAGCACAGGUAGCAAUACCGGGUGGCGACCGGCGCACGGGUGAGUAACGCGUAUGCAACUUACCUAUCAGAGGGGGAUAACCCGGCGAAAGUCGGACUAAUACCGCAUGAAGCAGGGGCCCCGCAUGGGGAUAUUUGCUAAAGAUUCAUCGCUGAUAGAUAGGCAUGCGUUCCAUUAGGCAGUUGGCGGGGUAACGGCCCACCAAACCGACGAUGGAUAGGGGUUCUGAGAGGAAGGUCCCCCACAUUGGUACUGAGACACGGACCAAACUCCUACGGGAGGCAGCAGUGAGGAAUAUUGGUCAAUGGCCGAGAGGCUGAACCAGCCAAGUCGCGUGAGGGAUGAAGGUUCUAUGGAUCGUAAACCUCUUUUAUAAGGGAAUAAAGUGCGGGACGUGUCCCGUUUUGUAUGUACCUUAUGAAUAAGGAUCGGCUAACUCCGUGCCAGCAGCCGCGGUAAUACGGAGGAUCCGAGCGUUAUCCGGAUUUAUUGGGUUUAAAGGGUGCGUAGGCGGCCUUUUAAGUCAGCGGUGAAAGUCUGUGGCUCAACCAUAGAAUUGCCGUUGAAACUGGGGGGCUUGAGUAUGUUUGAGGCAGGCGGAAUGCGUGGUGUAGCGGUGAAAUGCAUAGAUAUCAC